rnacentral:rRNA from 1 species
AUGGUAAAACGAGGGCUUAGCUGUCUCCUUUUUCAUGUCAAUGAAAUUGAUCUACCCGUGCAAAAGCGGGUAUUAUCUUAUAAGACGAGAAGACCCUGUGAAGCUUUAGACAAUAAGACAGACCCGGCCUAAAACCACUAAUAAAGGACUAAGCUUUAAACCCCUGUCUCAGUGUCUUCGGUUGGGGCGACCACGGGGAGUUGCGUAACCCCCGCGUGGACUGGGAACAAGAGUGUUUUUGUUCCUAAAGAUAAGAGCCUCCGUUCUAAUAAACAGAAUUUCUGACCUUACAAGAUCCGGCAAUGCCGAUCAACGAACCAAGUUACUCCAGGGAUAACAGCGCCAUCCUCUUUCAGAGCCCUUAUCGACAAGGGGGUUUACGACCUCGAUGUUGGAUCAGGACAUCCUAAUGGUGUAGCCGCUAUUAAGGGUUCGUUUGUUCAACGAUUAAUAGUCCUACGUGAUCU